rnacentral:rRNA from 1 species
GCCCGCUACAGAAACUUAAAAGGAAGUUCGACGGGGCCCGCACAAGCGGUGGAGUAUGUGGUUAAUUCGAUGCAACGCGAAGAACCUUACCUGGUCUUGACAUCCCGGAGACCCUUAGGAAACUAGGGGUGCUUCCAUCUGGAAGAAUCUGGAGACAGGUGCUGCAUGGCUGUCGUCAGCUCGUGUCGUGAGAUGUUGGGUUAAGUCCCGCAACGAGCGCAACCCUUGCCUUUAGUUGCCAGCAGUUCGGCUGGGCACUCUAAAGGGACUGCCGGUGUUAAACCGGAGGAAGGUGGGGAUGACGUCAAGUCCUCAUGGCCUUUAUGACCAGGGCUACACACGUACUACAAUGGCCGAUACUAAGGGCAGCGACACUGCGAGGUGAAGCCAAUCCCGUAAAAUCGGUCUCAGUCCGGAUUGGAGUCUGCAACUCGACUCCAUGAAGUUGGAAUCGCUAGUAAUCGUGGAUCAGCAUGCCACGGUGAAUACGUUCCCGGGCCUU